rnacentral:rRNA from 1 species
UACGGGGGGGGCAAGCGUUGUUCGGAAUUACUGGGCGUAAAGGGCGCGUAGGCGGUUUGCUAAGUUGGAUGUGAAAACUCUGGGCUUAACCCAGAGCCUGCAUCCAAAACUGGCAAGCUGGAGUUUUGGAGGGGGAAGCGGAAUUCCUGGUGUAGCAGUGAAAUGCGUAGAUAUCAGGAGGAACACCGGUGGCGAAGGCGGCUUCCUGGACAAAAACUGACGCUGAGGCGCGAAAGCUAGGGGAGCAAAC